rnacentral:rRNA from 1 species
AGCGAACGUUUGCGGCGGGCCUAACACAUGCAAGUCGAACGAGAUCUCGGGCUUCGGUCCGGGUGAAAGUGGCGCACGGGUGCGUAACACGUGGGUAAUCAACCCUCUGGAUCGGGACAACCCGGGGAAACUCGGGCUAAUACCGGAUACGUCGUCGGAGCUCUAGGGCUCUGACGGGAAAGGCCUGCAAGGGCUACCAGAGGACGAGCUCGCGGCCCAUCAGCUAGUUGGCGAGGUAACGACUCACCAAGGCGAAGACGGGUAGCUGGUCUGAGAGGAUGAUCAGCCACACUGGAACUGAGACACGGUCCAGACUCCUACGGGAGGCAGCAGUGGGGAAUAUUGCGCAAUGGGCGAAAGCCUGACGCAGCCACGCCGCGUGAGCGAUGAAGGCCUUCGGGUCGUAAAGCUCUGUGGGGAGAGAAGAAUAAAGCCUGUGAAGAGCAGGCCUUGACGGUAUCUCCUUAGCAAGCACCGGCUAACUCCGUG